rnacentral:rRNA from 1 species
AGCAGCCGCGGUAAUUCCAGCUCCAAUAGCGUAUAUUAAAGUUGUUGCAGUUAAAAAGCUCGUAGUUGAAUUUCGGGGUUAGCAGGUCGGUCGUGCCAUCGGUAUGAACUGGUCUCGCUGAUCCCUCCCUCUUGACGAACUGUGAUGCCAUUAAUUUGGUGUCGCAGGGAAUCAGGACUGUUACUUUGAAAAAAUUAGAGUGUUUAAAGCAGGCUCACGCUUGAAUACAUUAGCAUGGAAUAAUGAAAUAGGACGUUUGAUCCUAUUUUGUUGGUUUCUAGGAUUGACGUAAUGAUUAAUAGGGAUAGUUGGGGGCAUUAGUAUUCAAUUGUCAGAGGUGAAAUUCUUAGAUUUAUUGAAGACUAACUACUGCGAAAGCAUUUGCCAAGGAUGUUUUCAUUAAUCAAGAACGAAAGUUAGGGGAUCGAAGACGAUCAGAUACCGUCGUAGUCUUAACCAUAAACUAUGCCGACUAGGGAUCGGAUGAUGUUAAUUUUUUAAUGACUCAUUCGGCGCCUUACA